rnacentral:rRNA from 1 species
CCUACGGGGGGCAGCAGUAGGGAAUCUUUCACAAUGGGCGAAAGCCUGAUGGAGCAACGCCGCGUGCAGGAUGAAGGCCUUCGGGUUGUAAACUGCUUUUAUAAGCGAGAAAUAUGAUGGUAACUUAUGAAUAAAGAUCGGCUAACUACGUGCCAGCAGCCGCGGUCAUACGUAGGAUCCGAGCAUUAUCCGGAGUGACUGGGUGUAAAGAGUUGCGUAGGUGGCUUAAUAAGUAGCUAGUGAAAUCUGGUGGCUCAACCAUUCAGACUAUUAGCUAAACUGUUAAGCUCGAGACCGUUAGGGGUAACUGGAAUUUCUAGUGUAGGAGUGAAAUCCGUAGAUAUUAGAAGGAACACCAAUAGCGUAGGCAGGUUGCUGGGACGGUUCUGACACUAAGGCACGAAAGCGUAGGGAGCAAACGGGAUUAGAUACCCCGGUAGUC